rnacentral:rRNA from 1 species
AGAGUUUGAUCAUGGCUCAGAUUGAACGCUGGCGGCAGGCCUAACACAUGCAAGUCGAGCGGUAGCACAGAGAGCUUGCUCUCGGGUGACGAGCGGCGGACGGGUGAGUAAUGUCUGGGAAACUGCCUGAUGGAGGGGGAUAACUACUGGAAACGGUAGCUAAUACCGCAUAAUGUCGCAAGACCAAAGUGGGGGACCUUCGGGCCUCAUGCCAUCAGAUGUGCCCAGAUGGGAUUAGCUAGUAGGUGGGGUAACGGCUCACCUAGGCGACGAUCCCUAGCUGGUCUGAGAGGAUGACCAGCCACACUGGAACUGAGACACGGUCCAGACUCCUACGGGAGGCAGCAGUGGGGAAUAUUGCACAAUGGGCGCAAGCCUGAUGCAGCCAUGCCGCGUGUGUGAAGAAGGCCUUCGGGUUGUAAAGCACUUUCAGCGGGGAGGAAGGCGAUAAGGUUAAUAACCUUGGCGAUUGACGUUACCCGCAGAAGAAGCACCGGCUAACUCCGUGCCAGCAGCCGCGGUAAUACGGAGGGUGCAAGCGUUAAUCGGAAUUACUGGGCGUAAAGCGCACGCAGGCGGUCUGUCAAGUCGGAUGUGAAAUCCCCGGGCUCAACCUGGGAACUGCAUUCGAAACUGGCAGGCUAGAGUCUUGUAGAGGGGGGUAGAAUUCCAGGUGUAGCGGUGAAAUGCGUAGAGAUCUGGAGGAAUACCGGUGGCGAAGGCGGCCCCCUGGACAAAGACUGACGCUCAGGUGCGAAAGCGUGGGGAGCAAACAGGAUUAGAUACCCUGGUAGUCCACGCCGUAAACGAUGUCGAUUUGGAGGUUGUGCCCUUGAGGCGUGGCUUCCGGAGCUAACGCGUUAAAUCGACCGCCUGGGGAGUACGGCCGCAAGGUUAAAACUCAAAUGAAUUGACGGGGGCCCGCACAAGCGGUGGAGCAUGUGGUUUAAUUCGAUGCAACGCGAAGAACCUUACCUGGUCUUGACAUCCACAGAACUUAGCAGAGAUGCUUUGGUGCCUUCGGGAACUGUGAGACAGGUGCUGCAUGGCUGUCGUCAGCUCGUGUUGUGAAAUGUUGGGUUAAGUCCCGCAACGAGCGCAACCCUUAUCCUUUGUUGCCAGCGGU